ACGAAUUCAUGGUCCGGUGAAGUGUUCGGAUCACGGCGACGUAGGCGGUUCGUUGCCGGCGACGUCGCGAGAAGUCCACUGAACCUUAUCAUUUAGAGGAAGGAGAAGUCGUAACAAGGUUUCCGUAGGUGAACCUGCGGAAGGAUCAUUG
rnacentral:rRNA from 1 species